ensembl:lncRNA FTX FTX transcript, XIST regulator
AUCAGCGUUGCGGCUCGAGGCAAAGCUGGUCCUGUGCCUGCUGUCCAUUGCCGCUAAGGCCUGCUGCUGCCAUUCAGGCGUGUCUCUCUCUCUCUCUCUCUUUCAUGCCGCUCUCUCCACCCCAUCUUGGGACGGCCAGCUCUAAGAAUUCCUGCUACGACACUGAAUUCAACCAGGAGGUGAUGCCACACUCAAUCAGAAACUAUGCUACUGCUGAAGAGGUAUAUUGAGCCCUGCCUGGUUAACCUCCAGUGAGGUUAUUAGAGAAUUGGGAGAGGCUCAAAUCAGCAUCCUGCACCUAGUUAUCAAACCAUUGUGAAGUCUUGAUUCCUGGAUGGCCAGAAAACUUGUCAUUGGUCAAGAGCAACAUUAAGAUCUGCCUGUUACUCAUACUGAUGCUUCCUGCCCAGCAAGUUCAUCAGAGGGCGAGGAUGAAUUACGGUUGCCAUGAAUGUCCUUGUGAGGCAGUUGGGAAGCCUUGGCUGGAUUGUGAAGGAUAUUUGAAAAGUAUUUUAGAGUCCACCAGAUCAUCCAUGUGAGUGACCAUGCAGCAAAAGAAGGAGGGUCCUCUCAGUGAUUAAGACAGGGUUUUACCAUGUUGCCCAGGCUAGAUUUGAACUCCUGGGCUCAAGUGAUCCUCUCGACCCAGCCUCCUGAGUAUCUGUGACUGCAGCUUCCAAGUUUGCUGGAGCCAUGUUUUCUCUAAUGUCCCCACAGAACAGUGGUUGGUAGGAUGGCGGAGACAUGGACUUCAGAGAGUUCUUGGUAGAAGACUCAAAGAGCCACCUGUCAUGAGACAUCCCACUUCCUUCCCCAGGUUACUUCCAAGACUGAGCAGCCAGGUUUUUGGUAGAUGAGAACAAAUGUUUCUUCCUGAAGCCCUGGGGCUUCAGGUAGGAAGAAGGACUGCUAUACUUGUUCUCACCCUUGGCUUCUGGCUGCUCCAGUUAAACAUGGUUCCCAUUGAUACAGACAUUAGAGUGGGAAAGGACUUCGUUCAUAGACCGAAGACCCUCAAAGGAAAGUCCUUCCAUUUUGGGAAGGGUGACAUUGAUUUCGUUUAGCUGCUUAAGAUAUGUACUUGCUGUUGUCUUGUGAGACAUGACAUCUGAAGCUGAAGAGGAGUCCCUCUCAUUGUUGUCAUUGUCCCACCGGGACUGAAAGUCUCCCAGUUGAGGCAGCAUUUUAGCUUUGAUGUCUACAGGGCAAUCAUGGAUCAGGAAAUUUCUGCAAAUUAGACUUGGAAAACAAGGUCUUGAUCCUUCUUGUCUUUGGACGAAGACUAAUCAUCACUUUUGACUGAAGGUGUAGUGCUGGAGACUAUGUUGGAGGCAGCACCUGAUGCACUAUCCAUAUUCUUCCCCUUGAUCUUGUCUUAAAGUUUUCCAAAUGGAUUCCGAGGCUUGUCUUUGAUGAAAAGGUCAAACAUACUGGCAGUCAUGUUGUUUCUCAUAAGCUGGAUGUCAACCUCAAUUUCUCCUCUUUAUCCUUCUCUCCUGGUUUGGAUUUCAAGGUAUACCACCGCAUCUUCCUGCUCCCCUAGUCUGGGUGCAGGUCCUGCAGGUACACCUCGGCGAAGCCCAAGUACAGUAGCAGCAGCACCUCAAAGGUGGCCUCCUCCUCUGACACUGAGGUGGCAUACUUCUCCUUACCCACCUGAAUCACCGAGUACAUGUUGCUUGUACCGUCAGGCUCUUGGUUCUUGGCCCCUGGCCCUAUGCCUGCAACACUGUCACCUGCACGUGGAUUGGGAACCACAUAGCCCCCGGACCUGCUAAGGCCAUUAAGGACAGGAUGGUGAUGCCUCGGCUGACUGACGUGAGAAGAUUGUCAUGACCCAUGGCCUCUACUGCUGUCCUACCAACAGAAACUUCAUAAUGUUGUGCAGGCGUUACCACUACCUAGUUCCAGAACAUUGCCAUCACCCCCAAAAUAAAUCUUGCAUUCAUUAAGCAGUCACCCCUAUUUUCCCC